rnacentral:misc_RNA from 1 species
UGCGGCUGGAUCCCCUCCUUUCUAGAGUACGCACUAAGCGUCAUGUGUCCACACUUAUCGGCUUGUUGUAGUUUUGAGGCGUGGGCCGGGGCGCGAUCGCCAGUCUGCAAGGCCUUCGAUUCAGGGGGUCUGUAGCUCAGUCGGUUAGAGCACCGUCUUGAUAAGGCGGGGGUCGUUGGUUCGAAUCCAACCAGACCCACCAACGAACAUCGGGUUUCGGGGGUGUAGCUCAGUUGGGAGAGCACCUGCUUUGCAAGCAGGGGGUCAUCGGUUCGAUCCCGUUCACCUCCACCACUCUCAGAGUACAUCGCUAAGUUGUUUGAUUUAGCGAUGGUCUUUGGACCUCAAUGUUGUUCUUUAACAAUUCGGAAGAAGUGACGUAAUGUGUGCAUGAUCAAUUGAUCAAGCACGGGUUGCGAUUGUAUCGAAUUAGUAUUUCUCAGAUUCUCAAGUCUAAGGAAUACGGCACAACGCUUCACUCAUGCCUAUGACUUGCCUCGAAAGAGGAUUCAAAGUUAUAGGGUCAAGCGAAUAAGUGCAUGUGGUGGAUGCCUUGGCGAUCACAGGCGAUGAAGGACGCGAUAGCCUGCGUUAAGCUGCGGGGAGCUGGCAAAUAAGCUUUGAUCCGCAGAUUUCCGAAUGGGGAAACCCGG